GUGUAUGUGGCUCAGUGGGUAGAGUGCUUGCCUUGUAUGCACGAGGCCCUGGGUUUGAUCCCCAGCAUUGUAUA
rnacentral:tRNA from 1 species